UCAUGUGGUUCCACGUUUGUCCAGCCAAUUGGACCCUGGCUGAAGAGCCUCCUGGGACCUAUCCUUGUGAGGGUCCUUGAGGCCACUGCUCCCUUCUCCUGAAGUCCUGCAGUUGUCACAGAUCACACCUGGCAGGAGAAACUUGUCUUCAGGGAGGAAGACACCGUGUCCCAGAGCCAUGAAGUUCCCAAAACCCUCACUCUGGAAGUGCCCUCCGUGCCCCCAAAGUCAAGCAAAGCCCCUGAACGCCCAGAAGCACCAAGUUGAAUCCAGGCUGACCUUGGUGAGCUGCCCCAUCCUCAUUAACAGGGGUGGUGGCAAACACCUGUAAUCCCAGCACUCGGGAGGCUGAGGCAGGAGAUCACUGUGAGUUCAAAGCCAGCCAAGUACAUACUGAACUACAUAGGAAGACCUCAUCUCCCAAAAAUGCAUGCAUCUACCUGUUUCUUUGGGUCUUCAUUUCCAAAGGCUCCUAUGUCUCAUAAAACAUGUGUUACUUAAAUGUGUAGAUUUGUCUCGUUCCUGUCUUUUACUAGCGGGGCCUCAACCAUGAGCCCAUGGGCAGGUGAGAGAAGAGAAAUCUCAGAAGGAUCUAACCUUUUGAAAUAACCUUUGAAUAACCUUUUGAAACCAGAAUACAUCUCCUCUAAGGGUAUUUUGUAUCUUGUUCAUUAAUGUUUCUACGUGUCUUCACAAUGUGACCAACCUUUCCACUAGGUACCUGUCCUGCAUCAGGUAAGGUUUUCAGAUGUUAGGCCAUUCCACUAGGAUGUGUAUUACACAAAUGGAUGCAUUUUUACCUGUGUGUGGAUGAUUAAAUGGUAUCUCUAUAAACAUUCAGUUAAUAUGGCUGUUUGGGACUAUUAAAUGACAUGAAGUGGUUAAUAUAUUGAUGCACUGCUUUUUUUAUUUAUGUGUGACACUGAGUAAAGUUUUUACACAAAAGACUGAUUUUAUUAAAUAACAUUUGCAUAAAUUACAGGUGGUCUAAUUGCAUCAGAGCCCGAAAUUCCUCCCCCAUUUACAGUUUCCAUUUGACUAUAUUUAACAAAAAAUUCCAAAAUCCUCCCUGAAGUACAACUAAUAAAUCUGAAUUUUAUUUUCUUAAAUGUUAAGAAGAAAAAAACAGUUGUCUAAGGCUCAAAGUGACUUCUUUCCCUACUCUUCCACUCUUUAAUCUGCUUUUCAGAGUUUUGUUUCCUGUGUCACAGUACUGCUACAGGACUCACCACACUCUGCUGAGCCUGCAGCCAUGGAUGAUAAAGUAUCUAGAGAAAUCCAAAGACUCACAUGGGAAAAACACCACAGAACCCUUUCCAAAUGUGUGCUCAGGGAACAGCUCAGCUCCUCUAGUAUGAGAAAAUAAAAAUCACCCUUUCUUCCCGCCCCAGGUGAACUUCCCAAAGCUCGCCUUGGCUAUACCUGGCCGUCCACCUUUAGGCAGCUGUUUUAAAUCCUGUUUUUUGAGUUGGCUGCUGGGUGGCAGAAGUCACUGCUUGGGGCUUGGGAGCCCCAGGCCAUUCGGUGACAACAGGUGGGGGGGUCCUUUCUUUGGGCUCCUCUAGACAAUAGGCCACUUCCUGUUUAUCUAGACCUAGGACAAUGGGAGAAAAUACCCUUGGCAUAUUGCGCCAGAGGAGUCCAGCCCCAGAUGGGCGGUCUUUGCCCAUAGUGGCCAAGGAUAUGGCUGCCCUGCAGGGCUCCCUAAGAACCCUAUCACCCUCAUCCAGGUGGCCUGCUUAUGUCCUCUGUGCUACAUGACCAUCAUGGAGGACACAGCCUAGAGGACAAGGCCCCUGCUGCUCAUCCUGAGGAAGCCUCAGACCUACAAGGUGAGCACCAGGAUGGGGUGGCAUCCACACCGGCACUCAACGCUCCCCGGGACCAGACAGACCCCCGCCCUCUCCAGGGUCUCAGCCCCCAACAUGGUGACCUCCCGGCCCCUCCUCUGGGCCACGGGGUGCAGACCGAAUGUGAAGUCUCAGGAGAGCCAGGUUAGAGUUUAAAACACACCCCAAAGCGCAAUUUAAAGUAUCCAGAGAGGGACCGGGCAGUAUCCAGAGCUUAGCAGUAUAAGUACCUGUGUGGCAAGUGCAAGGUUAUGAGUUUGAUUCCCGGUACCCUAAAAAACAAAAUUAAAAAAAUAAAUAAAGCAUCUGGAGACAGCAGUCUGUAUAAACCCAAGGAACGUUAUUCUCAGUAAAGGAAGAACACACGGAGGUGUUUUCCCAGUGGCAGCAAAGCCCUCCUCUGUACAGUCCAUAGAAAUGCUCUUUCCACAGUCCCUUAGCCCUGGUGCCUGAGCAGUGAACUCAGUCUCAGAAUUUGGUCAUUCAGUUGCAAUUUUUUUUUGUCUUUUUCUUUUUUAUUGGUACCGGGGAUCGAACUUAUGACUGCCUGCUUGCAAGGCAGGCGCUUAUCCCCACCCCCUGAAUGUGCAUUCUUUGAAAACAAGAAUACAUAAA